UCGCCCGCCGCGCGCGGCGGGCGGGGCGGGGGCACGGGGGGCCUACGGGAGGCAGCAGUGAGGAAUAUUGGUCAAUGGGCGUAAGCCUGAACCAGCCAUCCCGCGUGAAGGAAGAAGGCGCUAUGCGUCGUAAACUUCUUUUCCGGAGGAAUAAAAUUUCGUACGUGUACGGGACUGAAGGUACUCCGGGAAUAAGCAUCGGCUAACUCCGUGCCAGCAGCCGCGGUAAUA
rnacentral:rRNA from 1 species